UACGUAGGGGGCGAGCGUUGUCCGGAUUUAUUGGGCGUAAAGCGCGGGCAGGCGGCCCGGUAAGUCGGCCGUGAAAGCGCCGGGCUCAACUCGGCGAGGACGGGCGAGACUGCAGGGCUGGAGCAAGGCAGAGGGCGGUGGAAUUCCGGGUGUAGUGGUGGAAUGCGUAGAGCUCCGGAGGAACACCAGUGGCGAAGGCGGCUGCCUGGGCCUUUGCUGACGCUGAGCCGCGAAAGCGUGGGGAGCAAACAGG
rnacentral:rRNA from 1 species